AAAAUUCUAGGGUUUUCUAAUGUCAUGGGAGCAAAAUACAAAGUCCUUAUUGGGACCUUCAUGGCAGUUUAUGACUAAACUUUAUUCUAACCUUCUGUUCCCAGACCAUGUAAUUUUUAAUCCUGCCCUCAUGUUCCAGCCACAUUGUAGUGCUUUUCCCUUCAACAGAGAGGGUUUUUCACACCCUUUGUCUUACAUAUGUUAUUGUUUAGUUUAUCACCUUUUUCCUGAAAAAUAUCAUAACCUUCAAAUCCCAUCAAGUUUUAAUAUAACCUAUCCUGGAAUAUUUCCCCAACCUCUGCUAUCCAAGGUAAUGGAUUGCUCCUAUAUGUUCCUUCUAUGGAUGUCUAUUCAUGUGUGGAUAAAUUUGUAAGGCGGGCUAACAAACGGAAAAAUUGGGUGCAGGAGCUGAAGCUGCAAUCUAGAGGUGGGAGUUCUUUUUUAGAGAAACCUCAGCUUUGCUCUUAUGACUUUCAACUGAUUGGAAGAGGUCCACCCAGGUUAUUGAUGAUGAUCUCUUUACUUAACAUCAUCUGACUACAGAUGUUAACCACAUCUAGAAAACACCUUUAAAAUGACACUUAGAUAAGUUGUAAUGGAAUAACUAGGUACUAUAGACUAAUCAAGUGUUCAACAGCCACUGCAGAAAGAUAUAAUUAUUACUAUCCAUUGGAAGCAAGCUGUAAGAUAUCUGGAAGUAGCUCUAGCAGAGAGAUAUUACUGUGGAAUCAUACAGACCUUGUUACUUUAAUUUUUUUUCUUUAUUGGUCUCAUACAUUAGCUAUUAAACAGGUAGAAGAUACUAGGAUAAUCAGUGUGUGUGUUUAAUAACAAAGGUUCAAAUAAUAUAAAAUAAAAUUAACAUCAUUAAAUGGAAAAAACAUACAAUUCUACAUAGUUGGAGAUUUUAACACUGUAUUGUAGAAAUUGAUAAACAAUUAGACAAACAAAAAACCAAUAAAGAUAUAAAUGAUCUAAACAAUAAAAUCAAAUCACUUGACCUACCUGAUAUUUAUUUUUAAGAAAAUACUAAA
rnacentral:lncRNA from 1 species